UACACCUACGGGACGCAGCAGUGGGGAAUAUUGGGCAAUGGACGCAAGUCUGACCCAGCAACGCCGCGUGAAGGAAGAAGGCUUUCGGGUUGUAAACUUCUUUUCUCAGGGACGAAGAAAGUGACGGUACCUGAGGAAUAAGCCACGGCUAACUACGUGCCAGCAGCCGCGGUAAUACGUAGGUGGCAAGCGUUAUCCGGAUUUACUGGGUGUAAAGGGCGUGUAGGCGGGAAAGCAAGUCAGAUGUGAAAACCAUGGGCUCAACCUGUUGCCUGCAUUUGGAACUGUUUUUCUUGAGUACUGGG
rnacentral:rRNA from 1 species